GAAAGCAUCUAAGUGCGAAGCCAGCCGCAAGAUGAGAACUCCUCAUAAGGGUCGUCAUAGACGAUGACGUUGAUAGGGUGUAGGUGUAAAGACGGUGACGUCAAAGCCGAGCACUACUAAUUGCCCGAAACUUUCUUC
rnacentral:rRNA from 1 species